UGAGGAAUAUUGGUCAAUGGACGGAAGUCUGAACCAGCCAAGUAGCGUGCAGGAUGACGGCCCUAUGGGUUGUAAACUGCUUUUGUAUGGGGAUAAAGUUAGGGACGUGUCCCUAUUUGCAGGUACCAUAUGAAUAAGGACCGGCUAAUUCCGUGCCAGCAGCCGCGGUAAUACGGAAGGUUCAGGCGUUAUCCGGAUUUAUUGGGUUUAAAGGGAGCGUAGGCUGGAGAUUAAGUGUGUUGUGAAAUGUAGACGCUCAACGUCUGACUUGCAGCGCAUACUGGUUUCCUUGAGUACGCACAACGUUGGCGGAAUUCGUCGUGUAGCGGUGAAAUGCUUAGAUAUGACGAAGAACUCCGAUUGCGAAGGCAGCUGACGGGAGCGCAACUGACGCUUAAGCUCGAAGGUGCGGGUAUCAAACAGGAUUAGAUACCCUGGUAGUCCGCACAGUAACGAUGGAUGCCCGCUGUUGGUACCUGGUAUCAGCGGCUAAGCGAAAGCAUUAAGCAUCCCACCUGGGGAGUACGCCGGCNACGGU
rnacentral:rRNA from 1 species